GAACCACCAAGGAAUUGCAGCCUCUGUAUCUGUCUCUCCCUCUCUGCCUUGGGCUCAGGUUCAUGCAAAACCUCUCUGCACCAAAGAUGGCUGAUGGUGACAACGUGGAUUUUGAUGACAUCCACAGGAAGCGUCAGGAGACCUGUCUGAGCUCCAGUCUCUGAGUCUCACUUCAUCCCGGAGGAAGAAGGAGUAAGAGGAGCUCAUCUCCCUCGUAAACAGGAUUGUGUAGGAGAAACGCUUUGCGGAGAGGGCAGAGCAGCGGCGGGUUCGUGCGGAGAGGGAGAAGGAAUGGCAGCUCAGGGUUGCUUGCUCUGCAGGAGGAGAAAGAGAGGAAGGAGGCAGAGCAAUGUAGGAAGAACGAUGAUGACGCUAAAAAAAAGGCUCUCACUAACAUGACCCACCAGUAUGGAGGCAUUCAGCAGAAAAUGAAAACCGUAAAGGAGCCAAAAAUCAGAGGGAGAAGAUUCUUGCUGACCGCAGGAAAUCUCUCAGCAUCGACAAUCUGAAUGAGGACACACUCAAGGCAACAGCCAAUGAGAUGUGACAGUGGAUGAUGGAGCUGGAGGCUGAGAAGUUUGACCUCAGUGAGAAACUCAAGUACGAUAUCAUGAAAAAUAAGACGGGGGGCACCAGACCAAGCAUCUCUAAGUAGAAAUUUGGACUGUCAAUUUUUACACAAUGUGAGAGGUCCCAGGCAGUGGGUACAUCAGAGGUGACCUACAGUACUACUGAACAGGUGAACAACAGAUUAACCAGCUUCUCACUCGGGUCCAGGAUCACCAAAGCAUCAAAGGUCGCGGCAAGAAGAUGGGCCGGGUGAGGUAAAGGAGCAAUCGCUACAGUCGGGCGAACGACCACGACGCCAGGGAUCGGCCCAUGAUGUGUGUUCAUCUGUGUAUCAACGUGUCAAUAAAUGAGUCCAACACUGGCA